GACGAACGCUGGCGGCGUGCCUAAUACAUGCAAGUCGAACGCAUUUUCUUUCACCGUAGCUUGCUACACCGAAAGAAAAUGAGUGGCGAACGGGUGAGUAACACGUGUGUAACCUGCCCAUCAGCGGGGGAUAACACUUGGAAACAGGUGCUAAUACCGCAUAAUUCCAUUUACUGCAUGGUAGAUGGAUGAAAGGCGCUUUUGCGUCACUGAUGGAUGUACCCGCGGUGCAUUAGCUAGGUGGUGGGGUAACGGCCUACCAAGGCUGCGAUGCAUAGCCGACCUGGGAGGGGGGUCGGCCACACUGGGACUGAGACAAGGCCCAGACUCCUACGGGAGGCAGCAGGAGGGAAUCUUCGGCAAUGGACGCAAGUCUGACCGAGCAACGCCGCGUGAGUGAAGAAGGUUGUCGGAUCGUAAAACUCUGUUGUUAGAAAAGAACAAGGAUGAGAGUGGAAAGUUCAUCCCUUGACGGUAUCUAACCAGAAAGCCACGGCUAACUACGUG
rnacentral:rRNA from 1 species